UGGCUAGCUGUUGUCUUAAGAUCUUAGCCCAAGCCAUCUUCCAGGACUCCCAUACCUGGGUGCCCAGUGUAGCCCGGGCUCCCUCACAACAUGGUGGCUGGAAGAAGGUUCCAGGAGAGCGGAGCCAGAUUCCACGUGAUUCCUGGAAUGAGGCUGUUUCUUUAAGAAUGUGGAACAGGACACGUUGUGAUUGUUCCGGACCCAGGCCCCACUGGAGGUCUGGAUCAGCUCAUUUGAGGACACUGCCUGCUGCAUUAGUGUCAAGUAAACAAGCACACAAAAGUCCAAAGCAUACACACCCGGUGCUAUUUUUGAAAAAGAGUCAGAAUCACCUCUGAUAACUAAGCGAGGACAAGACAUACAAAGCACAGAUUUGUGGUUUGGAUCCAUCAGCGUUUUUUCACUUACUAAUGAAUACACAAGCAGUAAAUGAUUGUGUGUAUGUGUGUGUGUGUGUGUGUGUGUGAAAACACUGAAAAAUACAAAAAUACCAGGAGACUGCACGUAGGGGUGCACACUGAGAACCUGAGGCAGGAG